rnacentral:lncRNA from 1 species
CUUCUCUAAAAGGUUCCUGAACUUUUAAAACAAGGUAAGAAAUUAUUUCCAUCCAUUCUGUAAUUUUGAUUAAUUCCCUAAGGCUUGAGAUUCUGAAGCACCUGCCCUCAAUUUUAGGAGAAAUGAACAUGUGAGAUCAGAAAUUUUUUUAAAUUAUUAUUAUCAACUUCUCAGUGCUCAUUUCAGUGCAUCUCCUCCCUUGAACACCCUCCACAGCAGAUUCUUACAAACCCAUCUCAUCCUGUAGGAUAAAGAUUUGUCCUCAAGGAAGGCAGUAGAGAGACUUCCCUUUACCUAAGCCUCUGAGAUGCCCUGAGGGUGUUGAUUAAGGAAACAAGAACUGGAAACACAGAUUCUUGUCUUGUCAACUACUCUUUCCCUGCCAAAGAAAAUACUUGCACACAAUAAUUGCCAGUUCUCUCUCAGAAACUUCUGUUUCUCCUUGAGAUGUAUCCCUGAAAGGACUUCCCCUCCCAACCAUCUCAGUGAUUCUUUCCCCAGGCUUGGAGUUCUUGAACUUUUAUUACCUGAUCACCUGAAAUAACUUUUGAACUGUGGGUGAGAUGCACUGAGGACAACUAACCAAGGAGAGGAGGAAACAUUCCCUGGAGCAUUGAGUGCUUUCCAACUGUAUGUCUUUACCCCACAGCUUACCCAGUGUUCCUUUGCUAUUAGACGACACCGCACUAUGUACAGUUCCCAGUUCCCAAUAGACUUCCCAACCUCUUCUAAAUUUUGUCAAUGAGGCUAAGUCUGACGA